UAUUUUGGAAGAGAUGCAUUUAUUAGAUAAAAAACCAAUACAUACUUUUUCAAGUAUGAAAUUUGGUGAUUUACAAUAACUUAGCAAAUCGCAUAGUAAAAACAGGCGAUAAAUCAUUCAAGUUUCUGACCUAUCAGCUUUCGACGGUAUGGUAUUGGCUUACCGUGGCAGUGACGGUUAACGGGGGAUUAGGGUUCGAUUCCGGAGAGGGAGCCUGAGAAACGGCUACCACAUCUAAGGAAGGCAGCAGGCGCGCAAAUUACCCAAUUCUAACAGCAUAAGAGAGGUAGUGACAAGAAAUAACAAUACAAGGCAGUUAAAAUGCUUUGUAAUUGGAAUGAUAGAAAUUUAAACACUUUUUAAAGUAUCAAUUGGAGGGCAAGUCUGGUGCCAGCAGCCGCGGUAAUUCCAGCUCCAAUAGCGUAUAUUAAAAUUGUUGCAGUUAAAAAGCUCGUAGUUGAAUUUCUGUUAAAAAUAACCGGUCUGCUUUUAAUAAAAGUGGUAUCUUGGUGUGUUUUUAGCAAUAAUGUCCUUUGAAAUGUUUUUUACUUUAUUGUAAUAAAUAAUAUUCAGGAUUUUUACUUUGAGAAAAUUAGAGUGUUUCUAGCAGGCUAACGCUUUGAAUA
rnacentral:rRNA from 1 species